CCCGCAACGAGCGCAACCCUUAUCCUUUGUUGCCAGCGGUCCGGCCGGGAACUCAAAGGAGACUGCCAGUGAUAAACUGGAGGAAGGUGGGGAUGACGUCAAGUCAUCAUGGCCCUUACGACCAGGGCUACACACGUGCUACAAUGGCGCAUACAAAGAGAAGCGACCUCGCGAGAGCAAGCGGACCUCAUAAAGUGCGUCGUAGUCCGGAUUGGAGUCUGCAACUCGACUCCAUGAAGUCGGAAUCGCUAGUAAUCGUGGAUCAGAAUGCCACGGUGAAUACGUUCCCGGGCCUUGUACACACCGCCCGUCACACCAUGGGAGUGGGUUGCAAAAGAAGUAGGUAGCUUAACCUUCGGGAGGGCGCUUACCACUUUGUGAUUCAUGACUGGGGUGAAGUCGUAACAAGGUAACCGUAGGGGAACCUGC
rnacentral:rRNA from 1 species